CGUGUGUUUUCGUCUUUAUGAGCAGCGAGUUUCCAAGCGAAAGUUGCAUGGAGACACACCGCGUAUAAUAAAGAGGACGGUGAGCGACAUAAAGGGACGAGGAGAGCGGGGACAACUUGCCAUGAGAAACAGAAAUAUUUAGCCCGUGUGAGAGAGGGGCACUGAAGCAGUUCUUUGAAAGAAAAAAAAAUCACUGCAGCGAUGCAUCGGAGGCGAGUCGGAACCCUUGCAUGGAGUUGGAAAGGCAAAAUUAAUGUACAUUACAUGCACUCCACGUAACGCUCCUGAGCGAUGUCUUUGUGAGUGUGUUUUUUUCUUACUGGGCGCUAAAAAUAGCAUCAGUGUUUGAUCGUGGUCCAGAAAUAGGCAGAGGGUAUCACUUGUAUAAAAAGGCUGUGCGAUUCUGGGGAAACGUGGACGUGUUGCUGAGGAUAGAUUUGAAGGGCAGUGUUUGAUUUUUCAUCUGGCUUGUUGUUUUUGUGUGACUUGGUCACGUAUGAUGCUUGUAUACUCAUGUCUGUGUUUCCCCUGCUUUCAGCCAGGGCUUGCUGCACUGCAGGGCGAAACCUCAAGGGAGAAAAUACAGGAGCUGAAAAAUGAUCGGCUCAAGACACCGAACGAUCCCGGAGUGCAGGGUGACGUCACUGUCUUCAAAAUCCGCUGCUGACUGAACGUCAAAGCAAAAAGCAGGGAUGUGAAUCUGAACUGACUGCACUCCUCAUGAAAAGAUAAAGACAGCUGAGCGAAACGGAAAGCUGAUGGAGGAAAAAGCGGGAGUUGACCAAUAAACGAGUAUGGCAAAGGCCUCAGCGAGGAGGAUACUGUGAGGAGAACCUAUGGUUGAUCAUCUGAAGCUGAAGAUUCACGUGUGAGAGGGGAAAAUAAUAAGGAUAAAAAGAUCUGGGAAAUCUUUACCCGGGAUCCUGCGCACAAGCUCGACGUCUGUUGGACUGCUCUAUUUCCACCUGUAAAUGGAUAUUCAGCAAGUUGAUUUACUUUAUAGGAGCAAGAUAACAGUGUCAGGUAUUUGCAAUAUUUGUCUGCACUUGUUGAGCUUUUUAAUAAAUCAUCUGGACUUGUGUUUAUGCCACAUAUACAACGUGUGAGCUUUAAACUGCGUGAGACAUCAGAGAAUGUGAAAAUGAUGGUGUAUUAAGAGCUAGGACUAAGAAAAUAAAACACUUUUGCAGGUAAAAUCAUCAUAGAUGAAAACAUUAACCUGAAAUGUGCAGACGAGACGCACGUGAGCGCUUGGUGUUGAGUUUUAAUAAUCGGCACAGAAGUGAAUAUUAUAUGAAACGUUACUUGUUCUAAUUAAAUAAUAACAUAUAUGUAGACUGGAAUGCGUUUGUUGUGACUCUGGUAAUAAGAACGCGUGCGUAAAACGAGCGCAAGAGACGUCUGCAGAAGUGUGUGUAGAAAUAUAUGAACAUUACAGGUGCCAGUUUUUUUAGGCUUGUGCUUUUUAUAAUUGUGUGGUCUGCAUAUUUAUGGCGUCCUAAGAGUUUGUUUAGAGUGUUGAUUUAAGCUUUAAGGGUUGAACGGAGGGUUUGUUCUGUCAUGCGUUCGCUGUCCAGUGCACGUGGUGCUGAAACGCGCUGCAGCUGCUGACGUACCACACGUGGCCUACAUGAGCUUAGACGUAAAGAUUAUGCUUUUUAAACUUAUUCUUUCGCUAGAUGUGUUUAUUUUAUUGUGUGAUUAUUUGAUACACUGCAUUAGUAGCUUUAGGACGCAUUUGGAGUCUAAUAAAUGUGAAACAUUAGUCCUACUGGGGUCAAAGGGGUACAGGAAAAGGAAGGAGCAUGUUUGAAAUUAAACAACGACAAAUGUAGAUUGAGUUAGCGUUGGGAUUUCUGAUGUAGAUCAAUGAGCAUCGAAGACUGACAGCUGGAAUGUGUAAUGCGCUACUUGAGAGAGUGAGACGAUACGUGUGUAUGUGUGAGUGUGUGUGAGGGAGAGAAAGAAGGGGGGACUGUCAAAAAGAAUGCUUUAAGGCUUGUUAGAGAAAAUUAUUAUUGUAGUAAAUAAUGCAGUGCUAUUGUAGUAUUUUUUAGAGUGUUUUAUUAUAGUAGCUACAACAAUGAAAAAUAACCCAGUGCACUGUAUUUGUUAUUAUGAAUAUUUUUUUUUUAAUUAUACGAUGUAUCUGCUUAGCAGUUUAUAUAUAUAUAUAUAUAAAGUUCUAAGCUUGUUUGAAGGUUAGAGCUAAACUGAAUAACAUGAGUUGCAUGUGGUUGCUGCAGUGUGGACGAUGUACGAACGUAACGUGUGGGCUCUGCACUUCUGUGUGUUAGUGUGAUUUUUAUUACAUAUAAAAAUAUAUAUAUAUAUAUUAUGCGACCCUGACUAAUUAUUUAGGUAUUUAGCUGUUUUGUUGCAUAAAAUAAGCUGUGUGAAUAAUAUGGUGAUGAUUAAAGUACAAUAUGGGGUGUUAGUAAUGUUGCAAAAUCCUUGCUUGAGGUUUGUUGUACACAUCACAUUCUGUAAAAUAUGUUCCUCUCAAACUGCUUAAUUUUGUAUGCUCUGUCAUUUUAUUUUGUCAGUGAAAAUAAAACGUUUGGCGUAA
ensembl:lincRNA si:ch211-147k10.6 si:ch211-147k10.6